GUUGGUAUAGCUCAGUGGCAGAGCGCCCGGCCCUUAUUCGGGUGGACACAGGUUCGAGUCCUGUUAUCAGCACCU
rnacentral:tRNA from 1 species